ACGGGUGAGUAACACGUAGGUAACCUGCCUAUAAGAUCGGGAUAACUAUCGGAAACGAUAGCUAAGACCGGAUAACUGGUUUUCUCGCAUGAGAGAAUUAUGAAACACGGAGCAAUCUGUGGCUUAUAGAUGGGCCUGCGGCGCAUUAGCUAGUUGGUAGGGUAACGGCCUACCAAGGCGACGAUGCGUAGCCGACCUGAGAGGGUGAACGGCCACACUGGGACUGAGACACGGCCCAGACUCCUACGGGAGGCAGCAGUAGGGAAUCUUCCGCAAUGGACGCAAGUCUGACGGAGCAACGCCGCGUGAGUGAUGAAGGUUUUCGGAUCGUAAAGCUCUGUUGCCCUAGACGAACAGCAAGAGGAGUAACUGCCUUUUGUGUGACGGUAUAGGAGAAGAAAGCCCCGGCUAACUACGUGCCAGCAGCCGCGGUAGUACGUAGGGGGCAAGCGUUGUCCGGAAUUAUUGGGCGUAAAGCGCGCGCAGGCGGUCAAUUAAGUUGGGUGUUUAAGCCCGGGGCUCAACCCCGGUUCGCAUCCAAAACUGGUUGACUUGAGUGUAGGAGAGGAAAGUGGAAUUCCACGUGU
rnacentral:rRNA from 1 species